UGUGCCAGGCCACAACUCAGCCCCUUUGGAGGAGCCACCAGCACGUGCCUCGUCCCCGUGUUUGGGGUCUCAUCGCCCACCCCAUCCUGGUUAUCCACCUACAUGCGAGGGGCCGGGAUUUUUGCUGACACUUUCUGGCUGGGAAUUGAAUGCUGCCUGAAUCAUCCAGCCAGGGCCAUUUGUUCAUAAAACUUCCAGACACAGCAGCUCCUUUGCACCAUGGAUGAGCCCAACCUGCCUGCACUGCUGAGAGCGACAGGAUCCCAGAAUCCCUGAGGCUGGAAAAGCCCUCCAGGAUCACUGA